UGAUAAUAUUACGGUUUUACAUAACAAUAAAACCGAUAUUAUGUGCCGAGAAGGAAAACAUACAGCAUUGUAUUAUGAAGAAGCAGUGUGUACUUAGCUUAAAUUCCUUGUCUAUGUCCAACCAUAGACAGUCAAUUUAGUUCCAUCUUUAGCCGCUAGGUGCUGCCAGCAAGUAUAAAGGAAGCGCAGCCAUCUUUGAUCUUCAUAGUCUUCACCAGGAAGACCUUCCUGCAAUGCUGUAUGUUUUCCUUCUCGGCACAUAAUAUCGGUUUUAUUGUUAUGUAAAACCGUAAUAUUGAUGUGCCUUUGGAAAACAUACAGCAUUGUAUUAUGAAGACGUGUUUGUUAUCUGCUGGUGAAAUUAUUAAGCACAACGCUAUGAUGAAAUAGAAAGUCGACAGCGCUGCUUUAUGCAGAAGGAUUGUUGUACAGGAAAAAUUUUAUUUUUGGAAAAGAAAACAGAAUUUGGCAACAUCUGCAGACUUAGGAUCAAUUUUAAAACUGUAGCACCAUAUGCACCAUCUUCUAGUUGCUGGUAAGUAUGCUGACAAAGUGGAUUGACACCAGCUAAUUUUCAAUAAAUCUUCUCCUGUGUA